UCUCGGUGACUCCGCCUCGUCCUCCCGCCAGAGCCGGUUCCCGCCCACUUUAUUAUUCUCCAGCGACGAAGUUCUCAGUCUCAGCCAAAGCCCUCCCUACACCUGGGGAGCCCGUAGAAGCCCAAUCUGCGCGGGUGGCAGAUCCGUAUCUCAAAAGAAGUAUCUGUUCUCGCCCUGAGAGCAUUGCUACACGUUCCCUUCUUUCUUAAGAACAUCUUCAAGAAUUCCUCAACAAGAACUUCUUGAACGCACCUGUUGUGUGCAAGGCACCGUGCUGGAUGCUGAAGGGGCUCCGCAUCCUCUGGUCCUGUGGCCAGAGGAGAAACAAGCAGAAGCUAAAAGGCUGUGUUUUGAAGGGCUCUGGUCAACAGGAGAAUGUUGUUAAGUGACAAGUAUUGAGGGAAUCAGGCAAAGUGACUAGAUAGACAAUCUGCCUGUUCAAGAACACCGGAGUAAGGGGGAGCAAAAUGCAUGACCCCCAAAUUUGCACUAUGGCAUGUGGAUUAUUUUGAGCUAAAGGCCAUCAAGACCCAGCAGACUCAAGAAAAACUUUUACCUCUUCCUUAAGUAUCUAAAAGAAUUCGGCUCUGCCUAGAAGAAGAGCUUGCCAGAGACAGAUUUUUAUCUGAAAGACCUAUCCACAUAGUAGGACAAAUAUCUAAUUACUAAACAUUUGCUCUGUUACAGUCCUGUGAAUUAACUUCUUCCCCUUUGAAGGCCAGGCGUCUAUCUUAUUCCUUAGCUCAGGAGGCUAUAUAAUCUUCUACUGUCUGGCUUGACCUUGGCUCUCAUAUUCUAAUGGGCUUUUGGUACAUAAAUAAUUACAUUUGUUUUUUUCCUGCUAAUCUGUCUUAUGUGCAUUUUAAUUAAUAGGCCAGCCAAAAGAAUCUAGAGGCGUAGAGGAAAAAUUUUCCUCCCUUGUAGGAGAAUUCAGAUUUGUACUCCUGUCUCUUGUGAGUUAGGGGAGUGGUAAGGGAAUUCAGAUUUGUACUCCUGUCUCUUGUGAGUUAGGGGAGUGGUAGUCUCUGAAACUCAUCAACACAAGUUUUCCUCGGACAUCUUAGGCCCUCGUCUUCUUACUUUUAACUACAAUGUCUCAAAACCUCUUUAGGUCACUGAACUCUAUAAGAAUCUGAGAAUAGGUACAAACCCACUCACCUUCUAAAUUGUUCAUACAGUUUUAGGAAUUUGUACACCAUUUACAGCCUACUCAUGUGCCUCCUGGGAUCCCACGAACCUCUUGCUAGAAGCCCAUAUUUACAUGGAUUAGGAAUGGUAACAAAGUGUAAAAAAGUCAUAAUGAUAAUAUAAUUAUUUAUUGAUUAAAGUGUAACUCAGGAAAUCCUCACAAUUCUGUGAUAUAGAUGACACUAUUAGUUGUGUUUUAUGGUAAAUCUAAGACAAUAUUUAGCCUACCUUUACAAUUUAGAGAAGUGA
rnacentral:lncRNA from 1 species